rnacentral:lncRNA from 1 species
UGAGCCUGAGCAGCUCUGUCUGAGCACUGGGUGGCGGGGCCUGCUGUAAUCCCAGCACACCAGGGAGCAGACGACUGAGGAAAACCACAGUGCCCACCCCUGCAGUGGCAUUACUCUUAAGACUGUUUUUCUCCCUCUUGGAGUCUUUUCAUGACUUACUAUUUCCAGCACAAAAAGCUACAGGGCGAGAGGUUCACCAGGGCCCUUCUCUUGUGGGCAGCCUCUGGCCAGGGAAGCAGGAGACCCACCAAAGGGUCUGAGCAGCCAGAAGGGCUAGCUUGGGCUCUGGCUCUGUGGAGGACCAGGUCCAGCAAGGGCACAGCCGCUGCAGGAUGCCGUUUGGGAUUCAGCGACACAUUGUAUGGUGUGGAGCUGCAGAAGUUCAGCUUGAAGAGGAGGAGUGUGGGCAUGUGGCACAGAGAAGGGAGUGUGUGGCAUUGAGCCCGAACAGAGGCACAUCAGGUGUCGGCUGUGAAAGCAGGGCAGCUGCGUGGAGCCUCUGAGGGUUACAGGGAGCACAGAGAUGCCCGUCCUCAGGAGACCAGGUCUGCAGUCAGCAAUUCUGGUUUUGUUAUUCUAUUGAUUUUUAUCAGACUUGUAUUAAAGUAUAGUAGAUUGAACCAUAUAAAAUUACUGGUAUUUGACUUUUUUGACCUACCAAAUGAUAGUUUGUGUUUCAACUUAUUUUGGUCAGAAAAUCGUAAGGUAUAGCAGUGCUCUUGGUCUCCACAGGUGAAUGAGCUCAUGUAAUUAGCUCUCCAGGUCCCCCCUUUGUGCUUCUGUCCUGUCAGUGCUCUUCUCCCAGUUCACACUGGUGUCUUGGAGUAGUUUAUAUGAAAGGAAUCAUCAUGUGUUUGGCACCUUUCACUCACCAUCAAAUUGAUGAAAUUUAUCCGUCUAAUUCAUUCACAUUGCUGUCUAAUUUCUAUUGUGUGACCCACAUGCUCCUCAUGGUCCCUGGUUUGUGUUCUAAUGAAAUGGCUGCUUGGGACUUCAAAAGUCCCCACUCCUGCCAUGUGCCUGCUAUCUCACCUCCAGUGCCCACCCAGUGAAGCCAGAGUCAACCCAGAACCACGGAGCCAGCACUGACACGGAGUGAGGCUGCAUCCUCACACUGUGUUGGGGACUUUGUGUCCACACUGAGCCAGAAGAUGGCUGGAGGCUCAUUCUCC